GUCAGAGAGGAUCCAAAGUCUUCCUGUAUCUCAGAUUCAAGUGCCUGGCCCACGCCAGGGCAGGGAGCCGGCGUGCCCGCAGCCCUUUUUGGUGGGACGAUCAGUAUUACCUUGCACCAAGGGGCCCUUCCAGCUAUUCCCAGCCUUCACCUCCGGUGGCACCUUCCCUCCUGCAUGGCUUCUGGGUCAGGUGUGCGGCCAUCACCCUGGCUGGGCCCUUGGCGCCCUGCAAGGUAAAUACAGGAAGUGACUGUCACGGCACGGGGCCAGCCGUGGGCCGAGGCGGGUCUGAAGGUCAGGAGGGCUUCCCGGGAGGCUUUUCCCAGGGAGGACGGAGCAUUUGCCUGUGGCCCUCUGGGACUGAGCUGAGAGCCUGUGGAUUUACCUGGGCACACAGGUCUGCUCUGCGGCUCCCGGGCAGGACAGUGCACAGGAGAGGAAGAGCUGUUGGCAGCCCAGCCUCCAGGGGCUCCUCACUGGCAGCCCUCAAAACCUGCAAAGUCUAGGGAGGUUGGUG
rnacentral:lncRNA from 1 species